GGACCUGUACUAAAAGAUAUGAUCGAGAAUAUGAAACAGAAGAUUGCCGGUAAAAGUACCAAGAAAAUGAUGGUUUACGUUGCUCAUGAUACAACUAUUACGGCUUUACUUACCGCCAUGGGAGUGUUCAAUCAGCAGGCUCCACAAUACACCGCAACGGUCAUGAUGGAUUUACACCAAGAGAAUAAACAGUAUUAUGUACAGCUUUACUAUAAAAAUGACACGUGGCCGGAACCAGAAAACGUCAUGACACUAACUUUACCAGGGUGUGACGAGAAAUGUCCCUAUAACAAGUUUAUUGAAUUGACCAAAGACAAAAU